rnacentral:lncRNA from 1 species
UGGGGGUGAUUUGGGGAUAGUGGCUGGCUGAAACUCGAUCAAGUAAGUUAGUUCUACAUCACAAUGAUCAAGAUUACAUAUGCAGUAGCAUUGCUCAGAGCUGUCUUAAGUGGAUAUUAGUUCUUUCUAAAUCUCUGGGAUGUAUAACUAAACUAACGUAAUAUGAAUUUUUGAUAUUAAGGAGACAAGACAAUAAAGAAACAUGACUUUAAUUGAGCGUUUUUAAGAGUCAAAAUCUAUUACUGUGACGUAGGGAGUAACAGCUAACUUGAAAGGGUGAAAGCAGAAAAGUCAUCUCUGAUUUUCUUUGGAAGAUGUAUUUUUGAAGAAGGUAUCCAUGAGGAGGAGCAACUGAUAAAAAAAUGUGCUGCAAGAUCAAUAUUUAGAUAAAUCAUCAAAAAACUAUAGUCUUAAAUGCCUCACUUUUAACUUGUUAAACCCUUAUUUAAGAAAUCGUACCUACUUAGCAUUAUAGAAAUUCUCACUUCAAUGCAGGAAAAAAACUCGUAGGAAGUGUCAUCAGGGUUGAAUUAAUAAGGAAUCUAGGCCAUUUUCAGCAAUAACACUCCUUUAUAAUUUUUCUGUGUUAUUUUUUCUCUAUUUUGCUUGUGAAUGGAUCAUGAAUAUAUAGUGAAUCAAAAAAGUGUAAAAUUGAAAAGUUCUUUGAUAGCUAUUACUGUGAGUAUAGAGUUGGAGAAGUCUCCCUAGAAUUAGGUUUCCUUAUCCUAAAUUUUUUUGCCCCCAUUAAAAACACAGCAUAUGAUUGGUAGCUAGUGUGAUGUAAUUCAUGAACUAACUAGGUCAAGAUCUUGAAGUUCAAACGUAUCUUACCCUCUUCAAUCAUUGUAUAAUGCAAUCAACCGUUUUUCUACUUGUUAAGCAUAAUUUGUUGAACACAUACGUAUCUCUCUCCGUAUAUAUGUGGGUGCACUUGUAGAUGAUUUAUGUUUUCCUUUUUCUGAACUAAUAUAUCACCGUUAACUGUGUGAUGGUCCUGCAGCUCUAGGACUAUAUUAGAAAAAUACCUGAAGCACACAGUCAGCAUAGCUGAGGAUCACAAGACUGCAGACAAGUUGUCUAUGGCAAAACGAAGCCAAAUGCAUUUCCAUCUUGCUCAUUAUGUAGAUGAUCUAUUUCGUAGUUCUGAAGAGAGACUUAACUCGAAUGAAUGGCAAGUAACAAAUCCCUGUGACGGAAAUCGUUUCUUGGUCUUUAUAAUUAUGCUUGUUCCUCCUUUAACUAUUGAAUAUUUGGCAUGACUGGAACAUUAAACAUUUGUACUUUUCUUUUCACACAUGGGUUGAUGAGGUUAUUCCUGAUGUGCCGGUGGUGAUAAAUCAAGAGUUCAUUCUCAAGCACCAAAUAAGAUUAUUUUAAGAUGCUAAAAAGAUCAUGAGGGCUAUCCUGCUCAUUUCUUCCUUUAUCUGUUUGGUUUAAAAUUUAUAAUGUUCCUUCACUUCUAUUUAAACUGAAAUUGGUUACUGUCGUUUGUGUUUUGUCCAGCCUUCAACUUAUUUCAAUAGAUAACUAAAUCUCUAUUGUAUUUUCUGAAUUUAGAUUCAUACUCAAUCAGAGUUUUCUUAGGACGAGCUUCUCUUUAUGGCGAUCAUGAAGGUUGAAUUUACCCAUUGCAUUCAAAGAUAGAUGCAAGCCAAUGAGAAAGUAACGGGAAGGAUUUUUGAGAGCUAGCCAAUCCAACGGUUUGAAGACAGCAAGUUGUAAAUUAUCUUCUUUUAUACAAUAAUUUUCUGUUGUUUAAGAGGAGUGUAAGAUAAUAUUUAUUUGAUGGGCAAUAUGUAAAUCAAAAUUUUUCUUUGAUUCAUUACAAUGAUGUGUUUUGUCUAUUUGUAUGGAUUAAUAAAAUUAUAUCAAU